UACGUAGGGUGCGAGCGUUGUCCGGAAUUAUUGGGCGUAAAGGGCUCGUAGGCGGUCUGUCACGUCGGCUGUGAAAACCCGAGGCUCAACCUCGGGCCUGCAGUCGAUACGGGCAAACUAGAGUACUGCAGGGGAGACUGGAAUUCCUGGUGUAGCGGUGAAAUGCGCAGAUAUCAGGAGGAACACCGGUGGCGAAGGCGGGUCUCUGGGCAGUAACUGACGCUGAGGAGCGAAAGCGUGGGGAGCGAACAGG
rnacentral:rRNA from 1 species